CGUCGUGAGACAGGUUAGUUUUACCCUACUGACAAAGUAGAUACUGCGACAGUAGUCGAAGUUAGUACGAGAGGAACACUUCGUCCAGAUACUUGGUUAAUGCCGUUGUCUGAAAAGACAGUACGGCGAAGCUACCAUCUGCUGGAUUACGGCUGAACGCCUCUAAGCCGGAAUCCAUGCUGGAUAAGCAGUGUUGUACACCGUGCUCAAUGCUACAAGAAAAAGGCUAGGUCAGGCUUCGGCCUGACCAAAAUUCAAGCUGCUAUACCUCUGGCUGCAUUGACUUGUGGUCAGAGUGUAUGGUGAUCAUAGCAAUUGCAAGUAUUGGGCUCGAUAAAUCCUUUGAAGACGACUUAAUUGCAUCCGGGUAUUGUAAGUGUUGAGAGUAGGCUUAGUCUUACGAUCCACUGAGAUUCAUCCCGUGUUGCGCCGAUUUGU
rnacentral:ncRNA from 1 species